UGUUCAUCUAACUCCGAUUGACUCCGCAGGUGCCAAAAUCCCUCCUCCUCCAGUCCUCCCCAGACUCUGUUCGCCUUCCCUCGCCGCGAAAAUCCCUCCUCCUCCCCACUAAUCUGCCGUCCCGAAUUAAUUGCCAUCAAAAGACCUGAUAAAUCCGAGCAUUGAAGGACCGGAAACUGCUCAAUGGAGAUCAUACGCCGCAACCACCUUAUAAAUACGCCCCGCUGCCGUACGCAUCGACACCAAGCACGGCAGCGUUCUCGCCGCCACAACGAGAAGCGCCCUGAACGCUGAUUCAUCUCUUGCUGGAGUACUAAAGCGAGAACCAACUUAGCCGCCGCCGCCUCCAUGUUUAUGAAAAGGUUACGGAUAAUCGGUGCCCGUCUGCUCGCGACGCCAACUCUCCCGCUGACGUCCACUUUUGUACAGAUCCGCUCCUGAUUUUCCACUUCCCUUUCAAUUUUUUAGUAUCCCGUUUGUCUAUAUGCUAGGCAGCAUGUGCUCCGGGCCUCCGGCUCACAAACCUGCCUGAUGUUUGCCUCCCCCGAUUUGGUUGGAUUUUUAUUGGAAUGUCCUUCCUGAUAACUCAAGCCCACACGGAUUUAACUGGAUUUCUACUGGAUUGAGCAUACUGGUCGAUCAAGUAAGGAGGAACAUUUCUUUGCGAUUUAUCUAUUCAUCUUCUUCCUGAUUUUAUCUGCGGCAAGAGGUAAAACUGUAGAUGCGCGAGAUUCUAAUAGAAAGCAUCCCAACAGCCGGGCAAGAAUCUGAUGAAGGUCCAGCAUACCUUUGUGCCUCUGGUACAUAUUACUCCCGUGUGAAACAAUCCAUUCAAUCGCCAUCCACCAUCUUUGGACGCCCUGUUCUUAUAGCCACUGAGCCAACACUGGAGGGUGCAACGGCGUCGUUUGAAGAAAUGCCCGUGAAAACUGCCAAGCAAACGUAUAGCUGAUUGGUGGGUACUAUGUAUAGAGUUAUGCAAGAUUGAUUAUGUUUUUCUUUCCGCAUUUUUAUUAAUCUUUGCCACGAAAUUAUCGGUACAUACUCCCAGUGGUGUUCUGUAAUGUACAAUUAAUCUGAUUUUUUGUGUAUGUGAUCAGCUGCUUUGAUCACGGCUGUAUGCUCCGAUGGCGCUCUGUAGUUGCACUUUAUUC